rnacentral:rRNA from 1 species
GAUGAACGCUGGCGGCGUGCUUAACACAUGCAAGUCGAACGGAAAGGCCCAAGCUUGCUUGGGUACUCGAGUGGCGAACGGGUGAGUAACACGUGGGUGAUCUGCCCUGCACUUCGGGAUAAGCCUGGGAAACUGGGUCUAAUACCGGAUAGGACCACAUUUUGGAUGGUGUGGUGGAAAGUUUUUCGGUGUGGGAUGAGCUCGCGGCCUAUCAGCUUGUUGGUGGGGUAAUGGCCUACCAAGGCGUCGACGGGUAGCCGGCCUGAGAGGGUGUACGGCCACAUUGGGACUGAGAUACGGCCCAGACUCCUACGGGAGGCAGCAGUGGGGAAUAUUGCACAAUGGGCGCAAGUCUGAUGCAGCGACGCCGCGUGGGGGAUGACGGCCUUCGGGUUGUAAACUCCUUUCGCUAGGGACGAAGCGCAAGUGACGGUACCUGGAGAAGAAGCACCGGCUAACUACGUG